rnacentral:rRNA from 1 species
UACAGAGGCCUCGAGCGUUAGGCGGAAUCACUGGGCUUAAAGCGUGUGUAGGUGGAUGCCUAAGUACCUUGUGAAAUCCCAUGGCUUAACCAUGGAAUUGCUCGGUAUACUGGGUGUCUUGAGCCACUCAGGGGCUACUGGAACAAACGGUGGAGCGGUGAAAUGCGUAGAUAUCGAGAGGAACACCUGCGGCGAAGGCGGGUUGCUGGGCUGACACUGACGCUGAUGCGCGAAAGCCAGGGGAGCGAACGGG